CCAGGGUAAAGGUGUUAGCACAAUAAUACAUUUCGCGUGUUUUGGCGACGCUUUUACGCGCCAUCAAUUAUCUCGACUGUCUUCCGCGUCGAGAUACUGGCCAUAUUGCUAACUCACCCGCACAUGUCAUGCACGUGUGGUCUUCAACCGCGAGUUCAUUUUUGGGGGGAAAAGCCUACUCUCACUAUCUCUCUCGCAGUUCUCAACCCUAACCAUCGCACAUUUUUCAUCUUCUCCUUUGUCCAAAUCUUAUCAAUUCUUAUCUAGGUACAAAACUGACCCAAUCUCCAUCAUCGAAAGCAUCAAUCUACUCCAUUCCAAAUCGUCUUCUGGUUUCAGUUUUUUUUUCAUUUUUCGGAGCAGAUCUCGCUGAAAAUUCCGACAAAUGACCAACGAGAUAGUUAAGACGGUGUCGAGAUCGGCUUAGUUAAUUAUGGGAAAAUAAUUGCAGAUCUAGGAGAUGGUGAUAACUCGCUACUUUUGUAUUUCUUCCUGUUUGCAGCCGAAUAAACCCUCAAUCUCUCACCAGUUCUCAACCCUCUUUGAUUUCUUGCUCCAACCUUCAAGAUCGAUGAGUUACUUGCUCGAAUAAUGAAUUUCAGGAAGAGUGCUUGUAACUGCUGCAGAGCCGUAUAGAUGUUCAAUAUGACAGUUCAAACCCAGAACACCAGUUUUCUCUUAUCUAGAUGGAUAUUAGGAUUAGGGUAUUAUUGCUGACAAGGAUACACAAAGAUCACAAACAGUACACAAAAGAUAAUUAAGGAGAAUUAGGUCAGGCAGCAGACCGCGGGAGAUCAGAUGUUGCAAUUAUGGAUCUCAACCAAUUACAAAGUGUUAUUUUUACUUGAAAAUGGAGUUCUUAUAACUUGUGGAAUUGGAGGUCAUGACUGCAUUCAAACCAUUGGAGUUCUUCGGAUCAGCUUUUGAUGCUUUGUAUCCUUUUGCAACAUUAGCAUACAGAAUAACUUGUGUUGGAUGUGUCUGAUUAUUUGUGUAGAGUUAGAUACAUUCCUGCAUGCUGCAAUAUUAUCAACUAGUCAAUAAAAACAUCACACUUUUCCUAGUAGAUACUGGAGCGCAAUAAUAAUUCUUGGUGUUUCAGUUUGUUCGUCAAAGAUAGUUGUCUGAAAUUGUGUCAUACUGAAAUGAGAAACAAUGAGUUCAUAAUACUUCUUGGAAAGCAAGAAAUGUCUCUCUUGUUUAUUUACAAACAACUAUUUAUAAACAACAUGUGCAACAUUGCUAUGUUUUGAAUGAUGCAAGUAUAGAUAUUCAUGUAAAUAAAGUGCUUAAAAUUGUGACAAGAAUCCCUAGCCUACAUCUCGGAUAUUUUUCUGAAAACAAGCAAGCUGCAGGAAGUUUCGUAAUGCUUGACAUUCUGGUUGGUGGCCAGCAAAAUGUCAUGUUAGUUAUAUCAAUGACGUCUCCUUUCUUCCUCCCUUCAGUGUGCACAUCAGUUUCAGUGGCUUUGGUCUACUAUUCAAGGUAUUCAAUAAUCCGAGGGAGCGGCCUUUCACAUUUGAGGAGAUAGAUGAAGUUCGAGAAAUGUUGACAAAUUUCAUUACCAGUGAUUGUCUUUGAUAUUUUCUUGUACUGAAUCUUAAAUUAUGGAUGCUAGAUAGUUUUUAAUAUGAUUGUAAUGUAAUCGACUUUUAUAUUCACAAUUAUAUACUAUUUAAUUUAAUUAUCUAUAUAAUUGAAUACUUUUUAUAUGA